rnacentral:rRNA from 1 species
CCUACGGGAGGCAGCAGCAAGGAAUUUUGCGCAAUGGGCGAAAGCCUGACGCAGCGACGCCGCGUGGGGGAAGAAGGCCUUCGGGUUGUAAACCCCUUUUCUCAGGGAAGAACAAUGACGGUACCUGAGGAAUAAGCCUCGGCUAACUACGUGCCAGCAGCCGCGGUAAGACGUAGGAGGCGAGCGUUAUCCGGAUUUACUGGGCGUAAAGAGGGCGCAGGCGGCUUUCUAAGUCUGGUGUGAAAUCUCUUGGCUCAACCAAGAGGGGACAUCAGAUACUGGGAUGCUUGAGGGCAGAAGAGGGAGACGGAAUUCCCGGUGUAGCGGUAAAAUGCGUAGAUAUCGGGAGGAACACCGGAGGCGAAGGCGGUCCCCUGGCCCGUUACUGACGCUCAGGCACGAAAGCGGGGGGAGCAAACAGGAUUAGAUCCCCUUGUAGU